CCUCCUUCCUCCUCUCCGGCGAUGAACCGUACAUAUUAAUAAUGUGUGGGUGCGGGUUGUCGUCGGCAGUGAGAGAACUUCCCUCUCUCCGAAGAGGAGCGCUUCGGGAAUGCAGGAAACGGCGCCAGCCAGGAUUCUUCCUUGGCUAGAAAACGGGGAAAAGGACAAGGAGACGCCAUGGCCCCUCUCUCGUCGCUUACAAUGCCGAUGCUUCCAUCCCUUCCCUCCUUUAAAUCUCCCCGCCUUCGAGUUCGGAGAUGCUCCAAGAACCCUAGUUCUCGGCUUCUUUUCGGGUUUCUUGUCUUCUCUAGGUUCUUGCCGAUUCCCUCGCUGAAAGAUCGAACUAGUGCAUUCGCCGGAGGCGCGGAAACCUAGCUUGUGUUUCUAUGUAGAGAUCUUUCGGCAAAUAGUGCUUCUUGUUAAUAUCUCUUAGGCUUCUUGGAUAUGCUCUAGAAAUAUUAGCUCUCCGGAUCCCCUAAUAUCUUGAACAUCUAUUGUGUCUGAUGGUAGAUUUGCUGGAGCUGAGUUCUUGCUGCGGAAACCCUCGGAAUUGAGACGUUUUGUGGAGGAAACGCUGUAGCUAUUGAGGACAAGAAGGAAGGGCAGGUUGCAGAGGAAGCUGGGACCAAUGAAAUCGAUGUCCAUGGUGAUGCUGGGAGGGAAGAAGACGAUGUGGUGGUGGAGAUCUAUGCAGAGUUCAAGCCGACAGAUCACCCGCUCGAGCCUCCGGACGAGGACCCACCUGCGAAAUGGCCAAUGCCCGAUUCUUCCCUUCUGAAUGUAAGUGGCUAACGUGUCCUAAUAGAGACCUUUUUCUUGCUAUUUGUGACUGUAUUUAUCUAUAAAAUUCCCUGAUUAAUGGUAUGAUGACAUGUUGUUUGCCCGUAUGCAUGAGAUAUUGGAAUUUUUAAAUUUUUUUUAAUAGACUUGGAUUAUGGCGACUUCAAAUGAUACUAGGACUCGUAUAUGUUCAUCUGGAAGUGAUAAAUAUGAGACUGUCAAAUAAAUUUCUCCAUAUUUAAUAGAAUAUAAAGGGUACUCAAACAGGAAAGUCUUUGCCUUGGGCUUUUCUUAAUCAGGGGACCUAAAAUUUGAAUGGAGUCUAGAAUUAUGAUGAUGUGGGACCGUCGAGGUUAGGAUUUACUUGGAAUCAUUUUUCUUGCUUGGAAUUUAGGUGUGUCCUGCACAUUAGGGGGAAAAAAUUAAUACUACAUUGACUUCUUAGUUUCAGUGGCCCUGGUCUAGGUUGAGUCCUGUUAGUUAGGAAACUGGCAAGCUGGUAAUAGAUUGCUACAGCUUGCAAUUAAGCUUGGAUCGGUAUUAUAUUGCGAUUUCAGUCUAAAAUCAUAAGAAGGCAUGCGAACAUGGAUGAUGAUGAGAUGUUACAAUUUUUCAUAUCAACUAUCCUAAGAAUUUCAAGUAGUUUUGCUAUUUUUAUUCAUCUUUUUUGGAGUUUGAGAGAGAGAUUUUGGACUUAAGGGUGCAAUUAUCUAGGGAGGAAGACAAUGAUGUUCUCUAGUUCACUAUUCCAUGUAUUCCUUUGCUCGGUGGUAUCAAAGCUAUACUUGGUGCAUUGUGGACCCCAACUAGGAAUACUAUUUUGAUGAAAGAACUUUAAACCAGCAAAAUGUUUCUUUAAUAGAUAAGAUGUGGGCAUCUAAGUGAAGUUCCUAUUUGGUCAUGACUCUGGACCUUCUUGACAGGACCAACAUCCUUUGCACCAAUAAUUGAAACAGCCAUCGGCAUUGUAGAUAAUAGUGGUGGCCAAUAUCAUGUUCUUCUUAUAAUAGCAGAUGGACAGUAAACGAAGAGGAACACCAGAAAUGACUGCUCUUCCUCCACCAAUUAAAAGUCAUGGUUCAGCAUAUUCAAAUCCAAAAUACUCACACUCAAGUAGCUCGGAGCAAGGUGCUGGAGUUCAUAAAAGGGCGUCAGCCAUUCCAUCAGAGAGUUCUCUAGAAGAGAAACAAGUAAAUAAAUUAAUUUACAUAUAUGGUUUCUCCUUUUUU